rnacentral:rRNA from 1 species
AGUGAACGCUGGCGGUAGGCCUAACACAUGCAAGUCGAACGGCAGCACAGAGGAGCUUGCUCCUUGGGUGGCGAGUGGCGGACGGGUGAGGAAUACACCGGAAUCUACUCUGUCGUGAGGGAUAACGUAGGGAAACUUACGCUAAUACCGCAUACGACCUACGGGUGAAAGCAGGGGAUCUUCGUACCUUGCGCGAUUGAAUGAGCCGAUGUCGGAUUAGCUAGUUGGCGGGGUAAAGGCCCACCAAGGCGACGAUCCGUAGCUGGUCUGAGAGGAUGAUCAGCCACACUGGAACUGAGACACGGUCCAGACUCCUACGGGAGGCAGCAGUGGGGAAUAUUGGACAAUGGGCGCAAGCCUGAUCCAGCCAUACCGCGUGGGUGAAGAAGGCCUUCGGGUUGUAAAGCCCUUUUGUUGGGAAAGAAAUCCAUCUGGUUAAUACCCGGGUGGGAUGACGGUACCCAAAGAAUAAGCACCGGCUAACUUCGUGCCAGCCGCCGCAGUAA